GGUUAAGCGACUAAGCGUACACGGUGGAUGCCCUGGCAGUCAGAGGCGAUGAAGGACGUGCUAAUCUGCGAUAAGCGUCGGUAAGGUGAUAUGAACCGUUAUAACCGGCGAUUUCCGAAUGGGGAAACCCAGUGUGAUUCGUCACACUAUCAUUAACUGAAUCCAUAGGUUAAUGAGGCGAACCGGGGGAACUGAAACAUCUAAGUACCCCGAGGAAAAGAAAUCAACCGAGA
rnacentral:rRNA from 1 species